UGGGGAAUUUUGGACAAUGGGCGAAAGCCUGAUCCAGCAAUGCCGCGUGUGUGAAGAAGGCCUUCGGGUUGUAAAGCACUUUUGUCCGGAAAGAAAUCCUUGGCUCUAAUACAGUCGGGGGAUGACGGUACCGGAAGAAUAAGCACCGGCUAACUACGUGCCAGCAGCCGCGGUAAUACGUAGGGUGCAAGCGUUAAUCGGAAUUACUGGGCGUAAAGCGUGCGCAGGCGGUUUGCUAAGACCGAUGUGAAAUCCCCGGGCUCAACCUGGGAACUGCAUUGGUGACUGGCAGGCUAGAGUAUGGCAGAGGGGGGUAGAAUUCCACGUGUAGCAGUGAAAUGCGUAGAGAUGUGGAGGAAUACCGAUGGCGAAGGCAGCCCCCUGGGCCAAUACUGACGCUCAUGCACGAAAGCGUGGGGAGCAAACAGGAUUAGAUACCCUGGUAGUCCACGCCCUAAACGAUGUCAACUAGUUGUUGGGGAUUCAUUUCCUUAGUAACGUAGCUAACGCGUGAAGUUGACCGCCUGGUGAGUACGGUCGCAAGAUUAAAACUCAAAUGAAUUGACGGGGUCAUAGCUG
rnacentral:rRNA from 1 species